rnacentral:lncRNA from 1 species
CAGCGCCCAUCGUGAAGACCACAGUUUCCUGUCGCGUGGAUGUGUUUCCUCUCUGGCCAUUGCCAUCCGCCCAAAUCUACAGACAUCCCGCAUGUUCCCGGGCUCGUCUCCCCAAUACAGGGCACCAAGGUGAGUGCAAGGUGCAUGGGCAGCGCCGUUUCCUCCAUCAAGGAAACCGGGCUGCGGGCCGUCGGUGGGCGGCUGGUCUGCUGGGUCUAGAGGAGGGAGGGCCUCAAGCCGCGUGCUUUUCACCGUCUGAGUAUCUGAAGCCUCAAAGCCAUGUCUGUCGCCUACAAAAAGUGGGUCGGUGUUUACGACCUGUGUCCCAUGUUUUUAGCAUCCUACCAAGGCGAAUCCAUUGACCAGGAUUUAAGUUGAGACUCCCCCAGGACCCCGGGUGCAGCAUCUGGGUCCCCCUGCCCCGCCCUGCCUUGCGCCGCAGCCGCUUCCGUUGUCCUGCCAGGCUGUAGACUGCGCAGCCCUCCUGGAGACAGAUGGAAGCUCCUUGGGUCGACAGAUUACAGCUUCUGGAACCCCCUACUCCCUUCAACUCCGAGAUGGACACCCACUGUCCAGGGAGAGGAUGCCUGGAAAUAACAGCUGGGAUCUACAGUGGCCAAAGAGUUGUCUCCGUCUUGCUACAUCGACAAACUGGUGCUCCUGACCACUUCGGAAGCGUUUUCCUCUCCACUCUGACAACAGGCAAGAGUGAGGGUCCAACAAUACAGAGGAAGUAACGUGUCGCUGCUACUCUUCCAUGCCCAGUGCCAGGAGCGACGGUACACUCCAGAGUGCUGUGCCCUGAUGGGCCUUUGAGUGGCCAGUGCAGUGGAUCAUCAGCCCUGUCUCCCAAGAGCUCCAGUCCCUUCUCCGGAGAGGAAGUGGGUCCACUGGCAGCUCAGGAGGCCAUAGCAGAUGUUUGUGGACAUCAGAGGGCCAAAGACGACACAAAGUGAAACUGGAGACACCGCCCCCCCUUGGCAUCAUGAAACUGCCGAUGUUACUGGCUCAUGCAUGGGAGACACCAGCAUACAAAGUCUUGACACCAACACCUCAGAGGGCUGUGUUCUGUCCCCGUGACCAUCAUCUAGUGCCUGGAAAGACUAGUGACAAGAACUUGUUGCCAACUUCCUAUUACCUCCCUAACAGUUGUGCAAUAAACCCCAUAGGUUAAUUCAG